rnacentral:sRNA from 1 species
GCUGGGUGUGCUGGUGCACCCCUGUAAUCCCAGCUACUUGGGAAGCUGAGGCAGGAGUAUUACAAGUUCGAGGUCAGUCUGGGCAACUUAGCAAGACCCUGCCUCCA